AUGUUACGUUACACAUGCAAACUAAAUCCCGUAUUAACUAUUUGCAGUCUUGUUUUCAAUAGGUAUUAUAUGAUACAGUUCUGUAUGAAAUGUUUAUAAUUUUAUGUAUUUAAAACUUUUUAAGGAAUAAUGAUAGAAACACGCUAAUUUUUAUUUAAAAAAAUUCACAGUAAAGCUAGAAUAAUGUAAGGAAUGAGUUACCAGAAUUUUGUUUUUGCCACUGAGAAUGAGAUGUUAAAUAAAUUUAAUAUAAUAUAAGGCAAUAAACUGUGAAAUUUUAUUCUUUGUUACAUUUUUUAAUAUUGGACCGAUAAGCACAAUCGAGUAAAAAAUUUUCCUAAUGCUUGCUAUAUAGUAAUAUAGUUUUUUAUCAUUAUUGAUAGAUUCUAUUAUUAACACCAUAUUGGAUAUUUUUACUUUAUUAAGCACAAAAUGUACCAAAAUAGUCUUUAUUUUUCUUGUAUGUUAACUGUUACUGUCUUAUUAUACAUAUUAAUAUAUAUCUCUGUGAUAAUAAUAACUUGACUGCAGGAACAAAAAGCUUGAUAUACCACACGAGUUUUUCAAGAACGUGAAGAGUAAACAAUAUAUCAACGUAACUGAGAUUAUUGAGAUAUUUUCCUUGAUUUUGUCUUAGACAAAUGAUUAUAAAAAGCUUGACCAAUUAUUGUACUCUAUCUUUCAGAAUUCACAGCAGCAGAUAUUAUUAAGUAUUGCUCAUAUAGAGCAACCAGAGAAGUUUCAGACUAAACCAACAAUUACUAUAGAAGAACUCACAGAUUUUGCGGGAGGACAAGUAUAGACCGAAAAAAUAAGAAGAUUAAAUCGUAACAAACUAUCUCUAUUCACAGCAUCUGUGAUGGAUCUUGUUUUCACAGAUAAGGAAAUGGGAAAUUAUACGAGUAGUAUGACUGGAAUACGAGCAAUUUUCCUCGAGAAAAAUUGAAACUUUUUUAACUUUAACAUUUAAUACAUUUUAAAAGAAUUUGAUUAUCCUACAGAAGGGCCAUUAAACAAGGUUGCAAUAGCAGAAAUUUUCAAAG